CAGAGAUAGACUUAUUGAGUUCUGCUACUGCCUUCAAACAUCACGUAUUGUAGCUCUGCUCCCACCCUCAGUGUUUCUCUGUUUUCAUGCAGGUGAACUUCAGUUAAUAGGAAACUAGAAAGAAGAAUGGUGGAUGCGUUGUUCUCCCUUCUUGGAUGCUGAGGAAAUGAUUUCAUACAUAGUGUUUCUAAACAACUCCUGCCGCAGCCUCCUGUGACAGCCAAGAGGUGUGUUUUUUUUAUGAAGCUAAAGAAGACAGUGAGGACAAGGUGGAGGACGAGGAAGACAAGAACAAUGAGGAGGAGGAAGAGGAAGAUGCUGUGUCUGUUCUGGCCCAGGAUGAGCCCUAGGGACUAUACUACCAACUCCCAGGCUGCACUGAUGCCUGAGCACUCCCACCACAGAAGAAGCAUUGACAAGACUGGAGAACUUCCAUUAUUCCUAGGCAGUUUCUAAUUUGGGGUGGAUUUUGGUUUUGCCCUCUCCCCUCCUUUUAUUUGUAAGGUGUUUUGUCUCUGAUUCUUCUUCAGCCCCUCAGCCUUCAUCUUUCUUGAUUGAUAUCUUUGCUUUCCUGUUUCUUCUCUCUCCAGAUCCCUUAGUUUCUCUUCCACUUGUGGGCACCAAAGUGUGGAGGAGAAGUCCCAGCCCCAAGAUUCCAUCUGCCUUCCUACUUGGACCCUGGAAGAAGUCAGGAAAACAGAGUGGCCUUCCUCUGAGGCCGUCAUUAACUUAAUUAUUAUUUAUCUAGAUUAAUACAUUUCUACCUGAGGCAAGUACCUCUCCUGCCCUUACCCUAGUCUUUGCCCUGCAACAUCCUUGUCAGUAUUCAAAACGAUGUUCAAAUGUCACCUUCUUAAUAUGCUCUUUCUCAAUAAGCCAGGCAGGAUGUGCAUAAUCCUCUCUCCUUUGGUUUCUGAAUUCAUUUAGAUAGAUCUACUAAUUAGUAUUUGAAUUACAUUUCCAGCAAAUAACAUCUUAUUUACAUUAUCUAAUUUAGGAUAAUGUAUGGCUGUUAUAAUUUAGAGAUCUUCUUUAAGGAAAAAAAUAAAAUUACAAAGAUAUAAUCUGCCA
rnacentral:lncRNA from 1 species